GACCUGGUGGUGUAGCGGCAACACGCCUGCGUGCAGUUCCUUCUCGAACCCAUUGUAGCAGGAAUCCCUUGUUCGACUCAAGGCCAGGCCA